rnacentral:lncRNA from 1 species
UUGCUCAUAAAGGACUAAUUAUUUAGUAUUGGAAUGAAAUAAACUUGAAUAGAGAGGGAUAGAUAGAAAGAAUUUGUCUAUCUGACCUUCCUAAAUGUGAGUGAGGCAUAGUUGGAUGAUUUGGGAUAGGUGGGGGGUGGAGGAUGAGAGUUGAUUCGGGCUGCGGGACGGAGUGAAGGGAAGAGUUUUCUGGUGGUAGUCGUACUUCCCAGAUUUGAGGGAACGGGACAGUCUUGUGAAAUCUGAAUAAGGCAGGAUGAGUUAGUGGGACCUAGGGUUCAGGAAGGAAAGAUGGUUUUAACCCUUGUCUAGUUAGUAUGCCAGGCGUGGAAAAAAUCAGCACAGAAGGGCCAAGCAUGUCAUUUUGCAAGUUUUUCCGAAGGGAUACAAGGCUAACCGCAAUCUAGCUAACUCCACUCUGCAAGCAAACAAUUUUACGCAACCUAGGUAGUCGUCAAUCUUGUAACACAACAAAACAGUGGAUGAGUUUUACACACUCUUAUUGGCAGU